GUGGCCCUGGAAUUAGCCAUGGCUCUGGUGUCCCCUGACUUCUCCCACACAGAUGUGCACACUGGUCUGGUCAUGCCAGUUGGGGGACCAAUGACAGAUCAAGGAACCCACUCCACCGAAGUCCAGCUUGGUGAGCCGGGUCUCUUCAUGUAGCCCUGGCUGGCCUGGAACUCACUGUGUGGACCACACUGACUUUGAACUCCCUCCCAAGUGCUAAGAUUAAAGGCCACUGUGCCUGGCACACAACUGCGUUUUGAAAAGCAGGGAAAUAACUAUAGAGAAAGGAAGCUGGUCAGCAAACAUUCUUGGGAUACCAGGCUGAGGCUGUGUUCUGAGUUUAGAAAGUGAGUGAGUGUGUAUUAUGUGUGUGUAUGUGUGUGUGGGGGUGUCUGUGUGUCUGUGUAUGUGUGUUGUGUUUUUCUGGUCUGAAAAAAUGAGGCAGGUGUUUGUGACAAGCUGUGACGAGGACCGUUGUGUUUUUCCUUGUUAGAAAAAAAGAAAGAAAGCAAAAAGCAAGCUUCUAAAAACAAGCCCUUAUUUAAAGGAAGCCCCAGUUAAUUCAACGAGGCAUUGAAUGAAGUCCCUGUUAUACAAAGUCCUUGACAAAGGCUAUUUGGCUCUGGGAGUGUUAUGAGGCCGGAGGCUGAAAUCAACACCCAGAACAGGGCUCUGACGGUUUGGCGCUCAGAACUGAUUCACAAUGCAAACCUGAGGUGUGUGCCUCCUAAGCACAGGAGCCGCCUCUGAGGGACAGCCCGAGCCUUUGAGUUCUUGAGACAGAAUCGUCAUGUGUCCACCAGGCUGGCCUCAAACUUUGGCUCUUUCCCUGUGUCCACUGGAGAGCUGGGAUUAUAUCGGCCCACUAUGAAGCAGACUAUGCUUUUAUCGACCUUGGUUGGAACGAAGUUUACCUAGUAAUAUAAACAAUCUAACGCCAGAACACCAGGUGACACAGAACUAAGGUGACACAGCUAACAGGUCCUGCAUGUUCCCAGCGGACAGCAUGACCUUCUGGCCCGAGAGGAGGCAUUCUAAAGAGACUGGCUCUUCCCUUGGUUACCUGCCUAUUAAAACUUCCCUCCAGACACCCCAUGCUAGCCACAGUGUACGCCAGAGGAGGACCUUGCCUCCCGGAGACUUCACAGUCUGAAAUUUCCAUUUCUAAAAUUGGGCCUGGAGAGAUGGCUUAGUGGUUAAGGGCACUUGGAGCUCUUGCAGAGGGCCCGGGCUUGGUUACCAAAAUUCACAGGGUAGGCAGUUCAAAACAGUCCGUAAUUGCAGUUCAGUGAAGAUCCUAUACCCUCUUCUGGCUUCAGCAGGCACUGCACAGCCAUGGUGAAAUUGUAUCCGUGCAGGCAAAAUACUCAUACACACAAUUCCCAGCAUCCACGUGGUGACUCACAACUGUCUGAAACUCCAGCUCCAGGGAACUCAGCAUCUUUUUCUGGCUUCUGAAGGCACCAGGCAUGCGUGGUACACACAGACAAACACCAAUGCACCUAAAAUUAGAAUAAAAAAUUAAAAACUGUA